rnacentral:lncRNA from 1 species
GACAGUGUUCUCUACCCAUUCAUUGAUCCUUUCAGCAAAUACAUGUGGCCUUAGCGUCCUGAAUUCUGACACUGGCCUAUGCAGUUCCCUAGAGUGGGUGCUGUGAAUAGAAGCAUCAGAGCCAUCAGAGGUUUCUGAUUUCUUGGCCUCACCUUCAGAACAGCUGAACAUCAGCUCUAGGAAGUGGGACCAAGCAACGUGUAUCUAUCUUCCCUGGCUUCCUGGGUGAUGCUUAUUCCCCGAGAUUGGCGACUCUGCCCCAGUGGAACAAGCAUGAGCAGGGCACAAGCACUCCUUGUCUCUGAGGAACUUCAAUUGCAUACUUCUUGCAACUUUGUGAUGAAAAAGCAGAGAUUUCUGGAUGCCCUCAAGGACUGGCUGAAAGGGAUUUCCAUGAUCAUGUGAUUCAAUACCAUUGCUUUGCAAAGGAGGAAGAGGAACUAAAGCUCAAAGAAGCAUCUCUGUUUAACCUAAGAAACAAUCCAGCAUUCCUUAAUCCAGUCACCUCCAAAAGCACAUGAAAAAAGUGAGGACAAUAAAGAUAUGCUGUUUGACAUCUUGCAGGAAAUACCAGGAAUAAAGGCACAGAAGUAGAAACAUUAGUAACAAUCACAGUGGGUUCUAUAUGCACCUAUUAUGGACCUUGCAUUAUGCCAAUCCUUUUCCAUUUAUUAUAUAUGACCCCAGCG